rnacentral:rRNA from 1 species
AUUUAACGCGCCGGCAUCCCUUACACAUGCAAGUCGACCGGCAGCGCGGACUUCGGUCUGGCGGCGAGUGGCGAACGGGUGAGUAAUGUAUCGGAACGUGCCCUAGAGUGGGGGAUAACGUAGCGAAAGUUACGCUAAUACCGCAUACGAUCUACGGAUGAAAGUGGGGGACCGCAAGGCCUCACGCUCAUGGAGCGGCCGAUAUCUGAUUAGCUAGUUGGUAGGGUAAAAGCCUACCAAGGCGACGAUCAGUAGCUGGUCUGAGAGGACGACCAGCCACACUGGGACUGAGACACGGCCCAGACUCCUACGGGAGGCAGCAGUGGGGAAUUUUGGACAAUGGGCGAAACCCUGAUCCAGCAAUGCCGCGUGUGCGAAGAAGGCCUUCGGGUUGUAAAGCAUUUUUGUCAGGAGCGAAAACGGUGGGGUUUAACAUCCUCUGCUAAUGACGGUACCUGAAGAAUAAGCACCGGCUAACUACGUGCCAGCAGCCGCGGUAAUACGUAGGGUGCGAGCGUUAAUCGGAAUUACUGGGCGUAAAGCGUGCGCAGGCGGUUGUGCAAGACAGAUGUGAAAUCCCCGGGCUUAACCUGGGAAUUGCAUUUGUGACUGCACGGCUAGAGUGUGUCAGAGGGGGGUAGAAUUCCACGUGUAGCAGUGAAAUGCGUAGAUAUGUGGAGGAACACCGAUGGCGAAGGCAGCCCCCUGGGAUAACAC